rnacentral:precursor_RNA from 8 species
UCAAAGCGUAUGGAAAAGUCUUUCACGAAUCUUUUUGCGGUCUGGGCUUGCUGUUCUCAACUAUCAAUGGGAAGCCCUUACCCCAAAAAGCAUUUGCGGAGGGCGCACACGGCGAAUGACAGA